UACGUAGGGGGCAAGCGUUGUCCGGAAUCAUUGGGCGUAAAGGGCGCGUAGGCGGCCCGCUAAGUCGAACGUGAAAUCCCUGGGCUCAACCCAGGAACUGCGUCCGAUACUGGCAGGCUUGAAUCCGGGAGAGGGAUGCGGAAUUCCAGGUGUAGCGGUGAAAUGCGUAGAUAUCUGGAGGAACACCGGUGGCGAAGGCGGCAUCCUGGACCGGCAUUGACGCUGAGGCGCGAAAGCCAGGGGAGCAAACGGG
rnacentral:rRNA from 1 species